rnacentral:rRNA from 1 species
AGAGUUUGAUCAUGGCUCAGAUUGAACGCUGGCGGCAGGCCUAACACAUGCAAGUCGAACGGUAACAGGAAACAGCUUGCUGUUUCGCUGACGAGUGGCGGACGGGUGAGUAAUGUCUGGGAAACUGCCUGAUGGAGGGGGAUAACUACUGGAAACGGUAGCUAAUACCGCAUAACGUCGCAAGACCAAAGAGGGGGACCCUCGGGCCUCUUGCCAUCGGAUGUGCCCAGAUGGGAUUAGCUUGUUGGUGGGGUAACGGCUCACCAAGGCGACGAUCCCUAGCUGGUCUGAGAGGAUGACCAGCCACACUGGAACUGAGACACGGUCCAGACUCCUACGGGAGGCAGCAGUGGGGAAUAUUGCACAAUGGGCGCAAGCCUGAUGCAGCCAUGCCGCGUGUAUGAAGAAGGCCUUCGGGUUGUAAAGUACUUUCAGCGGGGAGGAAGGAGUAAAGUUAAUACCUUUGCUCAUUGACGUUACCCGCAGAAGAAGCACCGGCUAACUCCGUGCCAGCAGCCGCGGUAAUACGGAGGGUGCAAGCGUUAAUCGGAAUUACUGGGCGUAAAGCGCACGCAGGCGGUUUGUUAAGUCAGAUGUGAAAUCCCCGGGCUCAACCUGGGAACUGCAUCUGAUACUGGCAAGCUUGAGUCUCGUAGAGGGGGGUAGAAUUCCAGGUGUAGCGGUGAAAUGCGUAGAGAUCUGGAGGAAUACCGGUGGCGAAGGCGGCCCCCUGGACGAAGACUGACGCUCAGGUGCGAAAGCGUGGGGAGCAAACAGGAUUAGAUACCCUGGUAGUCCACGCCGUAAACGAUGUCGACUUGGAGGUUGUGCCCUUGAGGCGUGGCUUCCGGAGCUAACGCGUUAAGUCGACCGCCUGGGGAGUACGGCCGCAAGGUUAAAACUCAAAUGAAUUGACGGGGGCCCGCACAAGCGGUGGAGCAUGUGGUUUAAUUCGAUGCAACGCGAAGAACCUUACCUGGUCUUGACAUCCACGGAAGUUUUCAGAGAUGAGAAUGUGCCUUCGGGAACCGUGAGACAGGUGCUGCAUGGCUGUCGUCAGCUCGUGUUGUGAAAUGUUGGGUUAAGUCCCGCAACGAGCGCAACCCUUAUCCUUUGUUGCCAGCGGUUCGGCCGGGAACUCAAAGGAGACUGCCAGUGAUAAACUGGAGGAAGGUGGGGAUGACGUCAAGUCAUCAUGGCCCUUACGACCAGGGCUACACACGUGCUACAAUGGCGCAUACAAAGAGAAGCGACCUCGCGAGAGCAAGCGGACCUCAUAAAGUGCGUCGUAGUCCGGAUUGGAGUCUGCAACUCGACUCCAUGAAGUCGGAAUCGCUAGUAAUCGUGGAUCAGAAUGCCACGGUGAAUACGUUCCCGGGCCUUGUACACACCGCCCGUCACACCAUGGGAGUGGGUUGCAAAAGAAGUAGGUAGCUUAACCUUCGGGAGGGCGCUUACCACUUUGUGAUUCAUGACUGGGGUGAAGUCGUAACAAGGUAACCGUAGGGGAACCUGCGGUUGGAUCACCU